AAUGAAUGUUGGCGGCGUGGAUUAGGCAUGCAAGUCGUACGCUUUAUGUAGCAAUACAUGAAGAGUGGCGUAAGGGAGAGUAAUGCAUGGUUAGCUACCCUGGGGACUGGGAUAGCGGCGGGAAACUGCCGGUAAUACCAGAUGACAUCUUCGGAUCAAACGUGUGAAACGGCCCUAGGAGGUGACCAUGUCCUAUCAGCUAGUUGGCGGUGUAACGGACCACCAAGGCUAAGACGGGUAUGGGGCGUGAGGGCGUGCCCCCAUCACUGGGACUGAGACACUGCCCAGACACCUACGGGUGCUGCAGUCGAGAAUCUUCGGCAAUGGGCGCAAGCCUGACCGAGCGAC
rnacentral:rRNA from 1 species